rnacentral:rRNA from 1 species
CGUGCCUACGGGGGGCAGCAGUGGGGAAUAUUGCACAAUGGGGGAAACCCUGAUGCAGCAACGCCGCGUGAGUGAAGAAGUAUUUCGGUAUGUAAAGCUCUAUCAGCAGGGAAGAAGAUGACGGUACCUGAGUAAGAAGCCCCGGCUAACUACGUGCCAGCAGCCGCGGUAAUACGUAGGGGGCAAGCGUUAUCCGGAUUUACUGGGUGUAAAGGGAGCGUAGACGGGGAGACAAGUCUGAAGUGAAAGCCCGGGGCUCA